rnacentral:rRNA from 1 species
GCCGGGAAGGGCCAUCGCGCAACGGAUAAAAGCUCCCCCGGGGAUCCCAGGCUUAUCUCCCCCACGAGUCCACAUCGCCGGGGAGGUUUGGCACCUCGAUGUCGGCUCAUCGCAUCCUGGGGCUGUAGUCGGUCCCAAGUGUUGGGCUGUUCGCCCAUUAAAGCGGUACGCGAGCUGGGUUCAGAACGUCGUGAGACAGUUCGGUCCCUAUCCGUAGUGGGCGCAGGAAAUUUGAGAGGCGCUGUCCUUAGUACGAGAGGCCCGGGAUGGACGC